rnacentral:rRNA from 1 species
GCUGGCGGCGUGCCUAACACAUGCAAGUCGAACGAGAAAGUGUAGCAAUCCAUGAGUAAAGUGGCGCACGGGUGAGUAACACGUGACUAACCUACCCUGGAGUGGGGGAUAACUGAGGGAAACCUUAGCUAAUACCGCAUAAUACCUACGGGUCAAAGGAGCAAUUCGCUUCAGGAGGGGGUCGCGGCCGAUUAGUUAGUUGGCGGGGUAAUGGCCCACCAAGACAGUGAUCGGUAUCCGGCCUGAGAGGGCGCACGGACACACUGGAACUGAAACACGGUCCAGACUCCUACGGGAGGCAGCAGUGGGGAAUUUUGCGCAAUGGGGGAAACCCUGACGCAGCAACGCCGCGUGGAGGAUGAAGUCCUUCGGGACGUAAACUCCUUUCGAUCGGGACGAUUAUGACGGUACCGGAAGAAGAAGCCCCGGCUAACUUCGUGCCAGCAGCCGCGGUAAUACGAGGGGGG